rnacentral:tRNA from 1 species
AGAGUUGGCUGUGGCUGAGUGGAAGAGCCUUUGCUUUGCAUGUAGAAAGCCCCAGGUUCAAACCUGGCAACUCCA